GCACUACUGAGGAGCCCCAUACUAGGGCGAAACGGCUGUCCAGUGC
rnacentral:hammerhead_ribozyme from 1 species